CCUUUUCUCUCAAGCCUCGGUAGCUUUCUUAAGAAAGAUUGGCUGAGGAGGAAGGGAUUCCAGUGCUCGCUCCAACAACUCGAGGCGGUUGUGAAGAACCAAGCAACAGCUCUGAAAGCUUUGGUCAAAGGAGUCGUGUGAGUCAACCAUGCUUAUUGGGUCGAAGAACCUAUCUCUGACUACAACCUUUGAAUCUGACAUGGCUUCAAACUCAGACCC
rnacentral:lncRNA from 1 species